rnacentral:rRNA from 3 species
UGGUCCUUGAUGUGCAGGAUAGGUGGGAGGCUUUGAAGCGCGGACGCCAGUUCGUGUGGAGCCAUCCUUGAAAUACCACCCUUUAAUGGCUGGUGUUCUAACGUAGACCCGUGAUCCGGGUUGCGGACAGUGUCUGGUGGGUAGUUUGACUGGGGCGGUCUCCUCCUAAAGAGUAACGGAGGAGCACGAAGGUUAGCUAAUCCUGGUCGGACAUCAGGAGGUUAGUGCAAAGGCAUAAGCUAGCUUGACUGCGAGCGUGACGGCGCGAGCAGGUGCGAAAGCAGGUC